rnacentral:other from 1 species
AUUAACCCGAUGGCGCGCGAUUUUCGAACCAAUGCUAACAGCAUGGGAGACACCCUGAACUCGGCGUUGUGCAAGCCCACCUUGAGUGGGAAGCCUGAACCGAUUCAUCCGCCACCCACAUGAACCUCAGGGUUCAAAAUCCAAGCCGGUCGGGCUCCCU